rnacentral:rRNA from 1 species
GACGAACGCUGGCGGCGUGCUUAACACAUGCAAGUCGAGCGGUAAGGCCCUUUCGGGGGUACGACGAGCGGCGAACGGGUGAGUAACACGUGGGUGACCUGCCCUCCAGCUCUGGGAUAAGCCUGGGAAACUGGGUCUAAUACUGGAUAUGACUCCACGGUGCAUGUCGUGGGGUGGAAAGCCUUGUGCGGCUGAGGAUGGGCCCGCGGCCUAUCAGCUUGUUGGUGGGGUGAUGGCCUACCAAGGCGACGACGGGUAGCCGGCCUGAGAGGGCGACCGGCCACACUGGGACUGAGACACGGCCCAGACUCCUACGGGAGGCAGCAGUGGGGAAUCUUGCGCAAUGGGCGAAAGCCUGACGCAGCGACGCCGCGUGAGGGAUGACGGCCUGUGU